rnacentral:rRNA from 1 species
GAUGAACGCUAGCUACAGGCUUAACACAUGCAAGUCGCGGGGCAGCAUGUUACUGGCUUGCCAGUAAUGAUGGCGACCGGCGCACGGGUGAGUAUCGCGUAUCCAACCUUCCCAUAUCCACGGGAUAGCCUGCCGAAAGGCAGAUUAAUACCGUAUGUUGUCGCACGCUGGCAUCAAAAUGCGACGAAAGGCUUAGCGGAUAUGGAUGGGGAUGCGUCCGAUUAGCUUGACGGCGGGGUAACGGCCCACCGUGGCGACGAUCGGUAGGGGUUCUGAGAGGAAGGUCCCCCACAUUGG